rnacentral:rRNA from 1 species
GAUGAACGCUGGCGGCGUGCCUAAUACAUGCAAGUCGAGCGAACGGACGAGAAGCUUGCUUCUCUGAUGUUAGCGGCGGACGGGUGAGUAACACGUGGAUAACCUACCUAUAAGACUGGGAUAACUUCGGGAAACCGUAGCUAAUACCGGAUAAUAUUUUGAACCGCAUGGUUCAAAAGUGAAAGACGGUCUUGCUGUCACUUAUAGAUGGAUCCGCGCUGCAUUAGCUAGUUGGUAAGGUAACGGCUUACCAAGGCAACGAUGCAUAGCCGACCUGAGAGGGUGAUCGGCCACACUGGAACUGAGACACGGUCCAGACUCCUACGGGAGGCAGCAGUAGGGAAUCUUCCGCAAUGGGCGAAAGCCUGACGGGGCAACGCCGCGUGAGUAAUGAAGGUCUUCGGAUCGUAAAACUCUGUUAUUAGGGAAGAACAUAUGUGUAAGUAACUGUGCACAUCUUGACGGUACCUAAUCAGAAAGCCACGGCUAACUACGUG